AUCGAAAGACGGACGGGGCCCACCCUCGGGCCUCAUGCCAUCAGAUGUGCCCAGAUGGGAUUAGCUAGUAGGUGGGGUAACGGCUCACCUAGGCGACGAUCCCUAGCUGGUCUGAGAGGAUGACCAGCCACACUGGAACUGAGACACGGUCCAGACUCCUACGGGAGGCAGCAGUGGGGAAUAUUGCACAAUGGGCGCAAGCCUGAUG
rnacentral:rRNA from 1 species